rnacentral:rRNA from 1 species
GGGCCGCACGCGCGCUACACUGACGGAGCCAGCGAGUAUAAACCUUGGCCGAGAGGUCUGGGAAAUCUUGUGAAACUCCGUCGUGCUGGGGAUAGAGCAUUGUAAUUAUUGCUCUUCAACGAGGAAUUCCUAGUAAGCGCAAGUCAUCAGCUUGCGUUGAUUACGUCCC